rnacentral:ncRNA from 1 species
GGUUAAGUGACUAAGCGUACACGGUGGAUGCCUGGGCAGUCAGAGGCGAUGAAGGACGUACUAACUUGCGAUAAGCGUAGAUGAGGCAGUAAGAGCCACUUGAGUCUACGAUUUCCGAAUGGGGAAACCCAGCUGCAUAAGCAGUUAUCUCAAUGUGAAUACAUAGCAUUGUGAGGCGAACCGGGGGAACUGAAACAUCUAAGUACCCCGAGGAAGAGAAAUCAACCGAGAUUCCGGCAGUAGCGGCGAGCGAAACCGGAUUAGCCCUUAAGCUAGUUUGAUGUCAGGUGAAUGAGCUGGAAAGCUCAGCGAUACAGGGUGAUAGCCCCGUAACCGGUAACAUCUUAUCAGUGAAAACGAGUAGGACGGGAC